CCCCCUCCUUAUGGAAACUCUUCUUUUUUGCAUGCAUCAAUGGCAGAAAAGGAGUCAGAAUACUGGAAAAAAUUUUCACUUCUCUCUCCAGUCACCCACCUCCUCAAGAAUUUCUCUAAGAAUGUGACUAAACCAAAGCACUUGUUGGAAAGUUACAAAGGAGAAGCGUCAAGCUGGUGAAGCCAGCGGGAGCUCUACAUGCAGCAGGUGGAAAAAUUACAGAGAGAGUGUGAGCAGCCAUUCCUGUGCAUUGAUCCGGCAAGUGCUGAGCCGUUCUCUCUAAGUGUACUUCAUCCAGCUGCCUGUAUGUACAAGAAGAUUACACAGCUCCCUGCUGACCAGAAGGGUGGAUGUAUAAAACUAUAAACAGGGAAUUUUUACUAGCAGGAAAAGGCUAGCAAAAAUCACUAUGAACAGCUCACCACAGUUCCAUGCCUCCAGCACAUAGGUAUAAUUCGGGAAUCCAUACAGCGCAUCAGGAUCGCUGCCUCAGCAGUUCCAGGAACCUCUUUCAAUGCAGGAACCACUGAUUUCUGUAUCAGUACCACAAGCCAUUAAAAGCUUGGACUUACUGGA